rnacentral:lncRNA from 1 species
GAGGCACUAGGAGAAGCUGGGAGGGAGUUGGGAGGCAACUGGGAGGGCACUGGGAGCAAACGGGGGGCGCUGGGAGUGGAUUAUGAGGCGCUAGGAGAAGCUGGGAGGGAGUUGGGAGGCGCUGGGAGCAACUGGGGGGGCACUGGGAGCAACUGGGCACUAGGAGUGGUUUAUGAGGCACUGGGAGGGAGUUGGGAGGGCACUGGGGGACAACUGGGAGGGCACUGAGAGCAACUGGGGGGCACUGGGAGUGGAUUAUGAGGCACUAGGAGAAGCUGGGAGGGAGUUGGGAGGCGCUGGGAGCAACUGGGGGGGCACUGGGAGCAACUGGGGGGCACUGGGAGUGGAUUACGAGGCACUAGUGAGGGGACUGGGGAGCACUGGGAGGGAGUUGGGAAGCACUGGGAGAGGACUGAGAGGGAACUGGGGGGCACUGAGAGACACUGGGAGUGGAUUAUGAGGCACUGGGAACAGCUGGGAGGGGACUGGGGAGCACUGGGAGGGAGCUGGGAGGGAACUGGGAGCACUGGGAGGGUAUGGGGAAGUAUUGGGAAGGAGGAGUGAGGCACUGGAGGGGCACUGGGAGGUACUGGGAGCUCUGGGAUGGUACAGGAGGGGACUGGGGGUCGCUGGGAGGGGACUGGGGGUCACUGGGAGGCACUGGGAAGGAACGGGGGGUCGCUGGGAUGGACCUAGGAGCAACUGGGAGGGAAUUGGAGGUAACCAGCAGAGCGAAUAGGUAACUGGGAAUAACUGGGAGGCGCUCGGAAGACACUGGGAGCAACUGGGAAGAGCCGGAGGGGCCGUGGGGGACAACUGGGAGCAACUGGGAGGAGCUGGGAGGGGUGUAGGGGACAACUGGGAGGAGCUGGACGGGAUUGGGAGCAACUGGUGGGGUGACGUCACCAGCAUCCCCGUGGAUGACGUCAUCUCCAAGGGGAUGACGUCACCGAUGUCCCCAUGGGAUGAUGUCACCUCCCAAUGGAAUGACGUCAUCGACGUCCCCAUGGGAUGACGUCAUCUCCCAACGGGAUGACGUCACCAGCGUCCCCAUGGAUGACGUCACCUCCCAACGGGAUGACGUCACCAAUGCC